rnacentral:rRNA from 1 species
CGCAUCUGUGCAUGCAGCAUAUCAAUAAGCGGAGGAAAAGAAACUAACAAGGAUUCCCCUAGUAACGGCGAGUGAAGCGGGAAGAGCUCAAAUUUGAAAUCUUAAAGGGUUUCCCUUUACGAAUUGUAGUUUAAAGAAGUGUUUUCUGUUGAGGUUUUGGUAAAAGUUCUUUGGAAUAGGACAUCAUAGAGGGUGAGAAUCCCGUAUUUGACCUUUACUUUCAACUUUGUGAUACACUUUCAAAGAGUCGGAUUGUUUGGGAAUGCAGUCCAAAAUGGGUGGUAAAUUUCAUCUAAAGCUAAAUAUUGGCGAGAGACCGAUAGCGAACAAGUACCGUGAGGGAAAGAUGAAAAGAACUUUGAAAAGAGAGUUAAACAGUACGUGAAAUUGUCAAAAGGGAAGCGUUUGACACCAGUGUUGUUUUUCUGAAAAUCAAUUAAAGAACUGUUUAUGCUAAGUUGUUUAGACUUUAUCAGCUAAUCUGCUUAGUUUUGAGGCUUUUCUUUAAUGCACUUUUCAGUUAACAAGUCAACAUCAAUUUCUUUUGCUGUAAAAAAGCUUGAGGAAGGUGGCUUGAGAUUCGUCUUAAGUGUUUAUAGCCUCUUGCCUAUGCAGUCGGAGAGAUUGAGGUCUGCAGCGUAGAUCCUUCGGGGCUAAAUGCAUUUGUGCUAAGUUAUAGCAUUUUAUAGACAACUUGUUGACUAUGAUUUGUCUUGUAGCUUACUCGCUUAUGUUAUUUUACCUACGCUUAGGAUGUUGAGCGCAUGUCUCUCUCU